rnacentral:rRNA from 1 species
GAUGAACGCUGGCGGCGUGCCUAAUACAUGCAAGUCGAGCGAACAGAUGAGAAGCUUGCUUCUCUGAUGUUAGCGGCGGACGGGUGAGUAACACGUGGUAACCUACCUAUAAGACUGGGAUAACUCCGGGAAACCGGGGCUAAUACCGGAUAAUAUUUUGAACCGCAUGGUUCGAUAGUGAAAGACGGUUGCGGCUGUCACUUAUAGAUGGACCCGCGCCGUAUUAGCUAGUUGGUAAGGUAACGGCUUACCAAGGCGACGAUACGUAGCCGACCUGAGAGGGUGAUCGGCCACACUGGAACUGAGACACGGUCCAGACUCCUACGGGAGGCAGCAGUAGGGAAUCUUCCGCAAUGGGCGAAAGCCUGACGGAGCAACGCCGCGUGAGUGAUGAAGGUCUUCGGAUCGUAAAACUCUGUUGUUAGGGAAGAACAAAUUUGUUAGUAACUGAACAAGUCUUGACGGUACCUAACCAGAAAGCCACGGCUAACUACGUGCCAGCCGCCGCAUAA